rnacentral:rRNA from 1 species
CAGGUCUAACACAUGCAAGUCGAACGGUGCUGGAGCAAUCUAAUAUAGUGGCAAACGGGUGCGUAACCCGUAAGCAACCUGCCUCAAACUGGGGGAUAGCCUGGCGAAAGCCGGGGUAAGCCCGCAUGGUCCCUUUUUCUCACCUGAGGAGCUGGGUAAAGAUUUAUCGGUUUGAGAGGGGCUUGCGUCUGAUUAGCUAGUUGGGGGGGUAGUGGCCCACCAAGGCGAUGAUCAGUAGGGGUUCUGAGAGGAUUGGCCCCCACAUGGGUACUGAGAGACGGACCCAACUCCUACGGGAGGCAGCAGUAGGGAAUAUUGGGCAAUGGACGAGAGUCUGACCCAGCCAUGCCGCGUGCCGGACGAAGGCGCUCAGCGUUGUAAACGGCUUUUAUCAAGGAAGAACGAUACUCUUGCGAGGGUAUGUGACGGUACUUGAGGAAUCAGCACCGGCUAACUCCGUGCCAGCAGCCGCGGUAAU